UACGGAGGGAGCUAGCGUUGUUCGGAAUUACUGGGCGUAAAGCGCACGUAGGCGGCCUGGCAAGUGACGGGUGAAAGCCCUCGGCUUAACCGAGGAACUGCCUGUCAGACUGUCAGGCUUGAGACCGGGAGAGGUGAGUGGAAUUCCCAGUGUAGCGGUGAAAUGCGUAGAUAUCUGGAGGAACACCGGUGGCGAAGGCGGCAUCCUGGACCAACACUGACGCUGAGGAGCGAAAGCCAGGGGAGCAAACGGG
rnacentral:rRNA from 1 species